rfam:Triticum aestivum genome assembly, contig: Triticum_aestivum_CS42_TGACv1_scaffold_288375_4AL
CGAGGAAGGAAGCAUGGUAAUGGGCGUGCUGCACGCAGAUUGACUGAACUCGGUCUGCAUGUCUGCUCGCCCUGACGCCCUCGGGCUUUGAUCUGCGGACCUAGAUUUGACUCAGACUU